UACGAAGGGGGCUAGCGUUGUUCGGAAUUACUGGGCGCAAAGCGCACGUAGGCAGCUUUGUAAGUUAGAGGUGAAAGCCCGGGGCUCAACUCCGGAAUUGCCUUUAAGACUGCAUCGCUAGAAUUGUGGAGAGGUAAGUGGAAUUCCGAGUGUAGAGGUGAAAUUCGUAGAUAUUCGGAAGAACACCAGUGGCGAAGGCGACUUACUGGACACAUAUUGACGCUGAGGUGCGAAAGCGUGGGGAGCAAACAGG
rnacentral:rRNA from 1 species